AGAUAACAUAAAUGUGAUAAUUCUAUCUUUUCUAAUGCGCAUAUGUGUAAAUGAACGUUGCUUAGGGUGCGGAUACGUAAAGUAGCUCACAAAACAACAGCCUACAUGAAUUUCCGGCCGUAUUGACAUUUAUUUUGAUACGUCAUUUGUAUUGUCCUUGUGGUGUCGCGUAUGUGCUCUGCUGUAGAGUUCGCUCUGCGGUGGAGAACAAGAUGCAUUUUGUUAGUUUUGUGUUGUGAUGUAUUGUCCCGUGUUAAUUAUGUAAAGAGAAUAAUUGUAAUUUUGGUACUAUUUUUAGUUAAAUUUUCUGCACAUCUUGCACAUCUUUUUUCUGCGCAUUUAGUCUUCAACAUGUAAUGACAGAGUCGAACAUACAUUUUUGUAUUAAAUUUGCUGUUGAGUGAAAUUUUUCUUUCAUACAUCACAGGAGUUGUCCUGUAUCUCACCAUCUGUUUUAGUUGUUUUCUCUCACAUGUAGUUGGCUUGGCUUACGCCACUAUAUAUCUAGUUAAAUCUUGGCAUUCAUUUUUUUGCUUUGCUAAAUUGUAUUUUUGGUAAUAUAGAACAGACAGCCAAUUACUGAUAUGAAAAAUCAUAAGAAUAAUAUUAAACGAAGAUCCAUACAAUGUAAAUUGGAGAAACUGAUUACAUUGCAACGAACGAGUAAAUGAUCAGUGAAAAACAAUCUAAGAAAUGUAUGGAUGCUGAGUCGUUUACAACACAUGUAAAAAAGUGCGCCAAAUAUAAUUUUUAUAAAAAAAUCUGCCGAAUUUAUGGAUACUGUGUCGUUGAUAGCAAGCACAAACUGUGUAUUUGCUUUCCCCUCUUGAAAAUUUUAGCGAAUGUGUGCAUGAGAGUUCUGUAACCAUGGAACCAAUAUACGUCUUAUGUGCCUUUAACAGAACACUGUGUGGUGAAAAUCAAUAUAAGAAUUGCGUCAAUGCUGUGGCGGUUUCACGCGCUGUUAGUAAAAGUAUGGAUGCUGUUUCUAACAAAACAUUAUAAUCAAUGCAAAAUGUUAUUUUACAUUUGUUAAUGCUCGGGAACUGCAAUCUUUCUAAAAAGAGUAUGAAUGUCAUGUCAAGCAAAAAAGGUGUACUAAGCUAUGUUGUGGAAAUCAUUGCAGCAAAUAUAAGGUCGUGUUCCCAUAAGUUCUUAAAAAGAUGAUGGAUUU